rnacentral:rRNA from 1 species
AUUGAACGCUGGCGGCAGGCCUAACACAUGCAAGUCGAACGAGUGGCGGACGGGUGAGUAAUGUCUGGGAAACUGACCGAUGGAGGGGGAUAACUACUGGAAAAGGUAGACAAUACCCCCUACCCUCAGCUGUGCCCAGAUGGGAGUAGCUUGUUGGUGGGUUAACGGCUCACCAAGGCGACGAUCCCUAGCUGGUCUGAGAGGAUGACCAGCCACACGGGAACUGGGACACGGGCCAGACUCCUACGGGAGGCAGCAGGGGGGAAUAUUGCACAAUGGGCGCAAGCCUGAUGCAGCCAUGCCGCGUGUAUGAAGAAGGCCUUCGGGUUGUAAAGUACUUUCAGCGGGGAGGCGUUACCCGCAGAAGAAGCACCGGCUAACUCCGUGCCAGCAGCCGCGGUAAUAC